rnacentral:rRNA from 1 species
ACAGGGAUUGCCCUAGUAACGGCGAGUGAAGCGGCAACAGCUCAAAUUUGAAAUCUGGCGUCUUUGGCGUCCGAGUUGUAAUUUGCAGAGGGCGCUUUGGCAUUGGCAGCGGUCCAAGUUCCUUGGAACAGGACGUCACAGAGGGUGAGAAUCCCGUACGUGGUCGCUAGCCUUUACCGUGUAAAGCCCCUUCGACGAGUCGAGUUGUUUGGGAAUGCAGCUCUAAAUGGGAGGUAAAUUUCUUCUAAAGCUAAAUACUGGCCAGAGACCGAUAGCGCACAAGUAGAGUGAUCGAAAGAUGAAAAGCACUUUGGAAAGAGAGUUAAAAAGCACGUGAAAUUGUUGAAAGGGAAGCGCUUGCAGCCAGACUUGCCUGUAGUUGCUCAUCCGGGUUUUUACCCGGUGCACUCUUCUAUGGGCAGGCCAGCAUCAGUUUGGGCGGUUGGAUAAAGGUCUCUGUCACGUACCUCCUCUCGGGGAGAACUUAUAGGGGAGACGUAAUGCAACCAGCCUGGACUGAGGUCCGCGCAUCUGCUAGGAUGCUGGCGUAAUGGCUGUAAGCGGCCCGUCUUGAAACACGGACCAAGGAGUCUAACAUCUAUGCGAGUGUUUGGGUGUCAAGCCCGAGCGCGUAAUGAAAGUGAACGGAGGUGGGAACCUUUCGGGGUGCACCAUCGACCGAUCCUGAUGUCUUCGGAUGGAUUUGAGUAAGAGCAUAGCUGUUGGGACCCGAAAGAUGGUGAACUAUGCUUGAAUAGGGUGAAGCCAGAGGAAACUCUGGUGGAGGCUCGCAGCGGUUCUGACGUGCAAAUCGAUCGUCAAAUUUGGGCAUAGGGGCGAAAGACUAAUCGAACUAUCUAGUAGCUGGUUCCUGCCGAAGUUUCCCUCAGGAUAGCAGUAACGUUUUCAGUUUUAUGAGGUAAAGCGAAUGAUUAGAGGCCUGGGGGUUGAAACAACCUUCACCUAUUCUCAAACUUUAAAUAUGUAAGAAGUCCUUGUUACUUAAUUGAACGUGGACAGUUGAAUGUAUCGUUACUAGUGGGCCAUUUUUGGUAAGCAGAACUGGCGAUGCGGGAUGAACCGAACGCGGGGUUAAGGUGCCAGAAUAUACGCUCAUCAGACACCACAAAAGGUGUUAGUUCAUCUAGACAGCAGGACGGUGGCCAUGGAAGUCGGAAUCCGCUAAGGAGUGUGUAACAACUCACCUGCCGAAUGAACUAGCCCUGAAAAUGGAUGGCGCUCAAGCGUAUUACCCAUACCCCGCCGCUGGGGCAAGAUUUAAGCCCCAGCGAGUAGGCAGGCGUGGAGGUCCGUGACGAA